CAGGGAGACCUUUGGUCCUCCAUUAGAAGACUCUUGUCAGCUGCUCCCGGGAGGCUCCACAUAUGUGAUCUCAGAACCAUGGGCAAAAAAACUGGAUUCAUACUUCUACUAACGGAUGAGAAGACUUCCUUCAGGACUUCCUGCAAGACUUCAGUUCAAACUGCUUCUAAGGACUCAUGUGAUUAAGCUGAGCCCACCUGGAUGAUCUCCCUAUCUCAAGGUCACCUGAUCAGAAACCUUAAUUGCAUCUGAAGCCUCAAUUCCCUUUUGCCAAGCAAGCCUCCAAGGUGCCAAUUAUGCAGCUCCCUUCCAAGUAAAGUAGCCUUUUCGCAAUUUUUAAAAAUGGUUUAUAAAAGCUUCAUGCUUUGAGUGGAACAAAUUCUGCUGUUUGGAUUGGACCAGCUGGAGCUAAAGGCUGCCUAACAGACAAAUUGCUUCUGGAUGCCAAUCGUCUGGACCUAUAAGAUUGUCUCUGCCUAGGGCAGUUGAAUAGGAGAGACGAAGAGAAAGUAGAAACCCCAGAAGAGAUAGACUGACAGACAGACAGGAUAGGUAGGCAUCAGCUCAGAGUUGCUACUACCUCCUCCCAAUAAGCUCCCCAUUUUCAAAGGUUUCCUGAUCAUGUAUCUGUUUCUUGAAGUCAGUGAAAAUCGCAUUUGGCAUGUUUUAAGGAGGAAUCAUGAGACCUCACCAAACCUCUGAGUCUGUUGUGUUUGCAGGUUAUCUUGGUUAUUAAUAUUUUCCUAUUGAUUUGAUUAUUCAUGAGCUGGAAACACUUCUUCUGAUAGCCAAGUGCUUCUCUUUUGCACCUUAUCACACGCAGCUCCUAUUUACUGACUUUCAGAUAACUAACUCAGAAUUUUUUUGCUCACAAGUUCUGGACAGACUCUGUAUCAUAUCACAUUAUUCCACUUUAUCAGUCUGCAUUUAGAAAGGUGAGGCUGCUCCUAAAUCAAAUUUGUGGGGUCUCCUCCUAUAAAAAUAGAACUCUAUUAAAAGUCAAAGUAGGGGAGGACUCAUGAGGGCUGCUGAGUUACAAGGCCAGCAAACCUCUAAAGAAAAAAAAAGUAGACUAGUUAAUACAUUAAUUCAGGAAAGAAAAAAAGGCAACUAAAUGAAAGAGGACACCUUCAAAUGGUAUUAUUAGUAAUUACUAUUAUAAGACGGAAUAAAAUGGAAGCAGACAGGAAAGACAGAGAAAAGAAAUGGUUCACAAAGCAUUUCUCAGAAAUGUAGAAACAGGAAGAUUUUGAAUCAACCCUUCUUUAUACUCACAAGCUUCAAAGAAUUAUAAAAAGGAUAUUAUAAACAAUAAGCAGCAAACUGGAAAUCAUUACCAACCAAUGGGAUGAAAUAGAAAAUAGGUUUGCAGAUGAGAGUGUAAAGCUAGCCAGACCCAAGAAAUUCCAUAAUUUGGGCUUUAAGACAAGAGAGGAUUGGCAGAAGAGGAAUGUUCUCCAAGGUACAGGUAAAUUUGAAGGAAGUGAAAAAGAAAGUAGGAAGAAAAGAAGAAGAAAACAAAGAAAAAUUCUCAUAACUGUACAGUUCCCAAAGAAUUAUUGUAGAAACAACUUAACAACACCUGCACAGAGAAACCCAAAUAAAGGUGUACCCAGGUAAUUAGUGACUAGAAAUUCUUGAAGUCCAUGUGGAAAGAAAACAUAUGGAAGAAGAAAAAUGUUACCCUGUACAGGCUCAAUAUAAAAAAAAAUAGUACCAUAUUUAGCAACAGCUACUCCAGGCAAAAGUGAAUUUUAUGGUCCCUGAGUUUAAUACACCAACCAAAAUAAGAGCCCAACCCCAGGUUUUGUUUCCAGCCAAAAUGUGUCUUUGCAUUUAAGGGGAAGAGAUGUUUGCACACCUAGGAAGUCUGCAAAAAUUAAUUAAUCUUGUUGCUGAAAGAAAACAUUCAGAGGUCAGAAAAAUUUGUUAUUCUCUUCAUCCCAGGUGGAGUUAAGACAAGGAUCAUACUAGGCUGAGUGACCAACCAUCUCAGCUGUACUGGGACUGAAAGGUUCCCUAGCCUGGGGGACUUGCUGUGCUAUAGACAAGACAGCCCUGAGCUGACUGGUCACCCUAGCACUAUUUUCCUCCAUGUGACAACCUAGGCAAGCUAAUUAGACUUGACAGCCAGUAAAAUUAAGAUAGAGGAUUCUCUAAACUCUUCAGGUACUGAAUUUUCAAGUCUGUUUUUUUCUUCUGUCUUCUAGGAAAGUAUUCCUAGAAAAUUCAGCAUUUAAUCAUUCAUUCAUUCAUCUAGUUAAACAGUAAUUGCAGGCUUUUUAAUGCCUUGGGCUGGGUGUGUAGCUCCAAUGGUAAGCAAGCCUCUGAUUUCAUGGGACUUAGAGGAGAAGCAGGAGAGCCAGGUAUGAAAUACACAAACAGAAAGAUGUGUAUGAUUGGAAAUGUAAUAGAAGGUAUGAAGGGAAAAGACAGCAUGAUAUGAUUGAGAGUGACAGAUGUCAUUUAGACUGUGGGAAGGGGGUUCUGGCCAGUAAUGACCCUCUGAGGAAGGGACAUGAAAGCAGAGACCUGAAGGGUGAGAGGGGAGAGGAGGAAGAUGGAGAAUUAGGCUGCAGCGGUGAAAUGUGUGUCAGGAUGGAGACAGAGGACAAAGAGUGUUCCAGACAGAGGGGCAGCACAUGCAAAAGCCCUGAGGCAGGAAGGAGCUUGGUGAGUUAAAGGAGUUGAGAGAAGGUUAGUAUCUCUCUUAAAACAAAGGGAAAGAGAAAUGAAUUUCUCUUUCAGCUGGAAGAGCCAGAAGUACUGGGAGUGAUGGUGGUAACAGUGGUCCAAGCAGAUUUGGUGAGAGACAGAGACAGAGACACAGACACAGACACAGACACAGAGAGACAGAGACACAUACACAGAGAAAUGGAUCCAAGAAGAAAAGGCUAAAGAUCAGUGGUGGAUAGUGAUCCCUUUUGCCUACACUCUUCUCACAGAAAUUUAAAAUGAAUAUAGCUAUCCCUGAGGUCUCUCUGAUGAACACGCACUAGAACAGGCUCUGAAGUAAAGCUGACAAUAAAAUAAUACAGAGAGUUAGAAGAAUGCGUAGGCAUGGAUAAAACCCUCCUUAAUCUGAGAAUUGACAAAAUGAAGGGAAAAAAUACAAUGGCUUUUUCUAGCUAAGUGCCAGAAUAAUAAGGGAGGUAUUAAAAUAUGGGCAAAAUUUUAGCACUAGUGGAUAGUCCCAUGUCCAGAAGACUCAGAAAUGCCUGAAUAUUGCCUAACAAUCACUUUAAAAGAGCCCCCAGUUACCGGGGACUCUGGCAUAGGAAAACAACAUAUUCUUGCUGAGUUUUUUUUUUUUUGAUGCAAAUGUAUCCAUAAGCUGUCAAUUAUUCAGGCUAAACCUGUAGGGAGAAUUUUUCUAUGCUUCUAAACUCCAUCUUUGGACCUAUGGAAUACUAUAAGUAAAAUCUAUGUGAAGAUGUUGAAAAUGUGUUUUACAGUUGUGAAGAUGAAACAAAAGUAAGAAUACUGGAUUACAGAAACUCAUAAUCACGUUGACAGGGUGGAACGAUUGACCUACCAAGAGGGCAAAAUUUGGCAAUGACAGGAGCCCAAUGGCCAGCCAGGAAGAGCUCAAUGCUGAGGAAGGAAAAGGGCUAGAAGAAGCUUUUCUGUUUAAGAGUCCAGGCUCUGGCUAGUCACAGGCUGCACAGGACCAAGGGAGCAGCCAAGAUGUGCACACGGACACAGUGUGACCUCUGCUUGGGAGACCGAGGCCCAGGUGGGCGGGGUAGCUAUUUCUGCGCAGUCCUCCAGCAAGAGUUCUUUCUGCUCUUUCAUCUGGGGGUCUGUGUAUGCCCUCCCUGGUGGCGCAAGCCUGGGGAUUGGGGUACAAGUGCCACUCAAGGUUCUUGUCAUCUUCUCCUUUGUUUCCAGAACAAGGAACACAAGCUCCCAUAAAACAAUGUCAAGUAACUCUGUCUGUCUGGUUAACUAAAUCUAGGGGCACCUACAUGCCAAACAGCACAGUUAAAAGAAGGCCAAGUACAUAUAUGGAAAAAUUACAGAAAUGUCUUU